UACGAAGGGGGCUAGCGUUGCUCGGAAUCACUGGGCGUAAAGCGCACGUAGGCGGAUCGCUAAGUCAGGGGUGAAAUCCUGGAGCUCAACUCCAGAACUGCCUUUGAUACUGGCAAUCUCGAGUCCGGGAGAGGUGAGUGGAACUGCGAGUGUAGAGGUGAAAUUCGUAGAUAUUCGCAAGAACACCAGUGGCGAAGGCGGCUUACUGGUCCGGUUCUGACGCUGAGGCGCGAAAGCGUGGGGAGCAAACAGG
rnacentral:rRNA from 1 species